rnacentral:rRNA from 1 species
UCAACUACUGUUGGNCCUUGAAACUAAUUAGCUUGAGUAUAGGAGAGGAAAGUGGANUUCCCGGUGUAGCGGUGAAAUGCGUAGAUAUCGGGAGGAAUACCGGUGGCGAAGGCGACUUUCUGGACUAUAACUGACGCUGAGGCACGAAAGCGUGGGUAGCAAACAGGAUUAGAUACCCUGGUAGUNCACGCCGUAAACGAUGAACACUAGGUGUCGGGAGGAAUUUCGGUGCCGGCGCAAACGCAAUAAGUGUUCCGCCUGGGGAGUACGUUCGCAAGAAUAAAACUCAAAGGAAUUGACGGGGACCCGCACAAGUAGCGGAGCAUGUGGUUUAAUUCGAAGCAACGCGAAGAACCUUACCUAAGCUUGACAUGGGGAUGAAAAGCAAUGUAAAGUUGUAAUGAUACUUUCGGGUAUACAUCCCACACGGGUGGUGCAUGGUUGUCGUCAGCUCGUGUCGUGAGAUGUUGGGUUAAGUCCCGCAACGAGCGCAACCCCUAUUGAUAGUUGCCAGUGCGUUAUGGUAGGCACUCUAUCAAGACAGUUAUGGAUAACAUAAAGGAAGGUGGGGAUGACGUCAAAUCAUCAUGCCCCUUAUGCUUAGGGCUACACACGUGCUACAAUGGCUGUAACAAAGAGAAGCAAAGUCGUAAGGCGGAGCAAACCUGAAAAAAGCAGUCCAAGUUCGGAUUGUGGGCUGAAACUCGCCCACAUGAAGUCGGAGUUACUAGUAAUCGCGAAUCAGAAUGUCGCGGUGAAUGCGUUCCCGGGUCUUGUACACACCGCCCGUCACACCAUGGGAGCUGAGGGUACCCA